rnacentral:rRNA from 1 species
AUUGAACGCUGGCGGCAGGCCUAACACAUGCAAGUCGAGCGAGCGGCGGACGGGUGAGUAAUGUAUGGGGAUCUGCCCGAUAGAGGGGGAUAACUACUGGAAACGGUGGCUAAUACCGCAUACCAUCGGAUGUGCCCAGAUGGGAUUAGCUAGUAGGUGGGGUAAAGGCUCACCUAGGCGACGAUCUCUAGCUGGUCUGAGCGGAGGAUCAGCCACACUGGGACUGAGACACGGCCCAUACUCCUACGGGAGGCAGCAGUGGGGAAUAUUGCACAAUGGGCGCAAGCCUGAUGCAGCCAUGCCGCGUGUAUGAAGAAGGCCUUAGGGUUGUAAAGUACUUUCAGCGGGGAGGCGUUACCCGCAGAAGAAGCACCGGCUAACUCCGUGCCAGCCGCCGCGGUGAUAC